rnacentral:rRNA from 1 species
UACGAAGGGGGCAAGCGUUGUUCGGAAUUACUGGGCGUAAAGCGUGCGCAGGCGGUUUCUUAAGUCAGACGUGAAAUCCCUCGGCUCAACCGGGGAACUGCGUCUGAUACUGGAUGGCUUGAAUUCGGGAGAGGGAUGCGGAAUUCCAGGUGUAGCGGUGAAAUGCGUAGAUAUCUGGAGGAACACCGGUGGCGAAGGCGGCAUCCUGGACCGAGAUUGACGCUGAUGCGCGAAAGCCAGGGGAGCAAACGGG